rnacentral:rRNA from 1 species
GUGGGGAAUAUUGGACAAUGGGCGAAAGCCUGAUCCAGCCAUGCCGCGUGUGUGAAGAAGGUCUUCGGAUUGUAAAGCACUUUAAGUUGGGAGGAAGGGCAGUAAGUUAAUACCUUGCUGUUUUGACGUUACCGACAGAAUAAGCACCGGCUAACUUCGUGCCAGCAGCCGCGGUAAUACGAAGGGUGCAAGCGUUAAUCGGAAUUACUGGGCGUAAAGCGCGCGUAGGUGGUUUUGUAAGUUGGAGGUGAAAUCCCCGGGCUCAACCUGGGAACUGCCUCCAAAACUGCAUGACUAGAGUACGGUAGAGGGUAGUGGAAUUUCCUGUGUAGCGGUGAAAUGCGUAGAUAUAGGAAGGAACACCCGUGGCGAAGGCGACUACCUGGACUGAUACUGACACUGAGGUGCGAAAGCGUGGGGAGCAAACAGGAUUAGAAACCCUAGUAGUCC